GAUGAACGCUAGCGACAGGCCUAACACAUGCAAGUCGAGGGGCAGCACGAUUGAAGUUUACUUUAAUUGGUGGCGACCGGCGCACGGGUGCGUAACACGUAUGCAAUCUACCUGUAAGUGGGGAAUAACCCGGAGAAAUCCGGACUAAUACCGCAUAAUACUAAGACACCGCAUGGUAUUUUAGUUAAACAUUUAUGGCUUACAGAUGAGCAUGCGCAUGAUUAGCUAGUUGGUAAGGUAACGGCUUACCAAGGCAACGAUCAUUAGGGGUUCUGAGAGGAAGGUCCCCCACACUGGUACUGAGACACGGACCAGACUCCUACGGGAGGCAGCAGUGAGGAAUAUUGGUCAAUGGGCGAGAGCCUGAACCAGCCAAGUCGCGUGAAGGAUGACUGCCCUAUGGGUUGUAAACUUCUUUUAUAAGGGAAUAAAAAGAGGAACGAGUUCUUUAUUGUAUGUACCUUAUGAAUAAGCAUCGGCUAACUCCGUGCCAGCCGCCGCAGUAAAAC
rnacentral:rRNA from 1 species